CGGCUGCUCUGAGGGACAGUCCUGGCUCCGAAAGCGGGCGCCAGCGCUGAGCCAGGGCCCGCUCGAGAUCGCAUCGUCUCUGCUUUCAGUCGUUGUCCGCGCGGUGCUGGGGCCUCCCGGGACCCGGGAGCCGCGGCGGAUUAGGCCGCCCGCCCCAACCUGGGCUUUGAUCUUAUCUGAGACUUGUGAGUCCAAAAGGGCUUAGCAACCGCAGCCAUGGCAGCCCCAACGACGUGAACAUCCGCACCUCUGAGCCUCCCCCUGAGAAGUACCUUCAGAGAGGGAUUUAGGAGGCACAAGUGAGAUAGCCACACGACUCCUGACCAGUUGGCAAGCAGAAGGUCCUGGGCAACCUGGGUUUCAUCUCGUGUUGUCCAGAAGCCGCAGUGGGUCUCCUGAUGCAGAGCCUGCGUGGCAGUGUU
rnacentral:lncRNA from 10 species